rnacentral:rRNA from 1 species
CAGAGAUGCGAAUGUGCCUUCGGGAACUGUGAGACAGGUGCUGCAUGGCUGUCGUCAGCUCGUGUUGUGAAAUGUUGGGUUAAGUCCCGCAACGAGCGCAACCCUUAUCCUUUGUUGCCAGCGAUUAGGUCGGGAACUCAAAGGAGACUGCCAGUGAUAAACUGGAGGAAGGUGGGGAUGACGUCAAGUCAUCAUGGCCCUUACGACCAGGGCUACACACGUGCUACAAUGGCGCAUACAAAGAGAAGCGACCUCGCGAGAGCAAGCGGACCUCAUAAAGUGCGUCGUAGUCCGGAUUGGAGUCUGCAACUCGACUCCAUGAAGUCGGAAUCGCUAGUAAUCGUGGAUCAGAAUGCCACGGUGAAUACGUUCCCGGGCCUUGUACACACCGCCCGUCACACCAUGGGAGUGGGUUGCAAAAGAAGUAGGUAGCUUAACCUUCGGGAGGGCGCUUACCACUUUGUGAUUCAUGACUGGGGUGAAGUCGUAACAAGGUAACCGUAGGGGAACCUGCGGUUGGA